AAACAACCGCCGGUUGAACGGAAAUCAUUGAUGUUGAUUAAUAAGAAAGUUAUUUUCGUUGUUUA
rnacentral:tRNA from 1 species